GGAGUGGGUACAUAGGCAGCAGAACAGCUAAACGGUGGAGUGCAGAACGGUAGAGUGUAGAACGGUGGUGAGAGAACGUAAAUGAUUGCAUUGGUACAGCUGAUGGUACGCCCAGCCAGCUCUGCUGAUGAGCUAGGCGUUCCAGUAAGGGGCAGGGUUGGGAUGGUGGUGCUGACGCCUUCCCUCAUAAAUGGGCCCGCCCAACCCCCGCCCGGGCCCCCCCCCCAACAGCACGUGCCCCUGAGAGCGCUGAAUUAUUCAUCGCAGCUGAAAUCUUACAUAGUCGGCUCUGGGUGUGUGUGUGUGUCUGUCUGUCUGUCUGUCUGUCUGCAUCAACGAAUAUCGCAUAAAUCCAUGUGCACAGUAUAAAUGUAUGAUUGCGUGUGAAGUGGAGGGGUUGAAGCUUCCUGUCUUCACGCCUCAUGAGUGUCGACUUUUGCGAAGGCAAUGACCUUUUAUUGGAUUUAGCAUUCGCAACCAGCAUUCGGUGGAAUCUGCCGCCAGGUCAAUGGCUAACUCGGUCGUGGCACAUAAUUUCUACGCUUCAGAUGUUUUGGCGUGACAGGGGUCACCUCCACUUUUCUCUCCUGGUCGGCUUGCAGGUUGCUAUAACCGUUCUGUCCAUGUCACCAUCCUUCGGCAUGGGGUUGCAUGUACCCUCUCUUACGGUCAAGGGGGAUUUUUAUAUGUCCUGCUCUUGAUGGACAAAACAGUGGGCAAAGGGCUCAUGUGCGGAUAACAGCGACGGCUGCUGAAGAGAGGGCAUACAGCAGUGGAUGGCGGAGUUGUGACAGGCCAGGACAAACAUGUACAUGAUAUGCUGCUGAGGGCUAUUUGGAUUAGUCAUCGCAUCUUCAUUAUAUUUAUUCAUGUACCAUAGGAAGACGUGCUGUGCGGGCGGGGGUUGGGCUGGGCCAUCUAUGGGGGAAGGCGUCAGCACCACCAUCCCAACCCUGCCCCUUACUGGAACGCCUAGCUCAUAUGUAGGUAUGUCUGGGCACCUCUCUUUCUCAAACUUGUCGUACAACACAAAUGCUUUUUUGGUGUCGUACUCCUUCGCCUUCACGACAAGCAAAUUGCGCCAUCACGAGGUCUCGGAAAUUCAGCUGCAUCAACUCCACACGGAGAAGGAACGUUAACU
rnacentral:lncRNA from 1 species